CCUUCCUAUGGCAUGCAGCCUCUCACUGUGGGUUCAUCAGUGACAAAACAGAGGAAUGAGGCUCCCUGAGAAGGACACCGGGUGCUGAUGGCACCCUGGCUCCCUUGGAGGUCAACCUUGAUCAUACUGGAGUCGCCUUUACCAAAUUCUGCCAGGCGAGGGCGCCCUGCGCCAAAUUUUGGCAAACCCCUCUCGCAGUUUGGACAACAGGGUCUCACCUGGAGUCCCCACCCCCGCCCCGCUCCCUUUCCUGGCUUCGUUGGCUAGCAAGCCCUAGCGAUCCUCUCCGUGUCUUGCCACUUCCUCUGGAGUUGCUUUGGAUUCUCACACGUGUAUAUAUCCUUUCUCUACACCUGGCAUGAGGCUGACGCUGGCAGGCAUCGUCCGCAUCCUUAAGACUCAUAUGAGUACCCCCAAUGCCGCUUUUAUUCAGCGUCACCAGGGAAGUCGCUGAUCUGCCAAAGAACUUUUCAGUAAGUGAGACUCGCCUCUAAAGACCAUACUGUUGGGUGGGGUUGGCAGUGUUGUAAAAAGUAUUGUAAAGGCCUCCGGAUUCCUCGCUCAAGUCUGAUAGCUCAGAAGGCUCUGAACCCCAAGUCUUGGGCAUCUCUUCAUCAUUGCAUCCAGCAAAGCCUGACCAGGACAGCCACCUGGUCAAGGCUUGUGGAUAGGAAUGGAUGACACAAAGGUUGAUCAGAGGUCACAGCACGGUGUCUAUUGGGAGGUUGGCCCCAAAGUUGUUUUUUGUGGUGGGCAAAUCAAUCACUAUAGCUUCCCUCUUUGAUGAUGUAUAGGGUCUCCAGGCCCACAUCUGCCCCCACCCUGUGUAUGCAAAUAUAAAUCCCUCAGUGUCCUCCCUGUGGUCCAGAAUCACCUUGAUGAACACAGGUUGGCACUCUCAUUUGCAUGGUACCAGGGGAGCUCUUUGCCCCGGUACCAGAUGUCCCCACAGUGCAGAACUUUCUAAACACUUGUGUUGGUAAUGAUUUGCCUGUCUUCUUCUUGGACGUCACUCCUGUUAUCAGUGAGUCGCCUCUCACUCCCUUCCUGACAAAGGUGAGCCUGCCCAAUCAAAUGUCAAGGUAAAAUAAACGAGGAGAGACCACGUGGGGGAAGCACCUCUAUUGCCAAUUUGCAGGAGCUAAGAUGAUUUCUAGACUUGCUCUGGAAAUAUAGGCAGGGAUGGUGCUGUGAUUUAAAUGGUGGUCCUCUGCCUAAAGAUGCUUCUAGCAUUUGUGGCUGUGGCCUUGCCUGUAAAACAACAACAACAAACAAAACAAAACAAAGCAAAAACAAAAACCUAAAUCCAAUUUUAAAUGUCCUUAUAAGAGAAGAAAAAGGAAAGAGAGAGUGAAGAAGGCAGAGGCGGGCUCGAGUUAAGCAUCUACAGACCAAAGAACGCCAAUCCUACCACCUACUUGGUGUAUCUUCCUCAGUUCUCUCCAACUUUAUUUGUUUAUUUAUUUACGUUUGAGACAGGGUUUCUCACUGAACCCGGAGCUUUCUGAUUCAGCCAACAAGCCCUGCGGUCCGCCUGUUUCUGCCUCCCCAGUGCAGGGAUUAUAGGCCUGCACGUCCAUCCCUGGCCUUUAAUUUAUUUAUCUUCAUUUGUACAGGUGUUCCUCUCUCUGUAUUCCAUAUGCAUGCUUGCUGCCUGCAGAGCUCUCGGGGGACAGUUCAGAACCAAACAGUAAUACCAAGGCCUGGCAACAAUCAUCAGAAUUAGUAGAGAAGCUUGGGACCGAAGGAACCCAGGCUACACCCACACCUUGUUUGUGGACUUCCGACCUCAAGAAAUGAGAAGGAGCUGGGCAGUAGUGGAGCAAACCUUUAAUCCCUGCAUUCUUUUGGGAUUAAUGAGGCAGA